AACUAACGCAAGCGGCGUGCCUAACACAUGCAAGUCUUACGAGAAAGUUCGUUUCGGCGAAUGAGUACAGUGGCGCACGGGUGAGUAAUGCGUGGAUAAUCUGCCCUCGAGUUAGGAAUAACCCACCGAAAGGUGGGCUAAUACCCAAUGAUGCUGAUUCACCCCGGUGGAUCAGCCAAAGGUGGCAUCUGUUUACAAGCUACCGCUCCUGGAUGAGUCCGGGUACCAUUAGCUUGUUGGUGGGGUAAUGGCCUACCAAGGCGACGAUGGUUAGCUGGUCUGAGAGGAUGACCAGCCGCACUGGAACUGAGACACGGUCCAGACUCCUACGGGAGGCAGCAGUGAGGAAUUUUGCGCAAUGGGGGAAUCCCUGACGCAGCAACGCCGCGUGAGUGAGGAAGGUCUUCGGAUCGUAAAGCUCUGUCAGGUGGGAAGAAGUGGAUAACGGCAAAUAACCGUUUUCCUUGACGGUACCACCAGAGGAAGCACCGGCAAACUCCGUGCCAGCAGCCGCGGUAAUAC
rnacentral:rRNA from 1 species